GACGAACUUUGGCGGCGUGCUUAACACAUGCAAGUCGAACGGUAAGGCUCCAGCUUGCUGGGGUACACGAGUGGCGAACGGGUGAGUAACACGUGGGUGACCUGCCCUGCACUUCGGAAUAAGCCUGGGAAACUGGGUCUAAUACCGGAUAGGACCGCACCGUGAGGGUGUGGUGGAAAGUUUUUUCGGUGUGGGAUGGGCCCGCGGCCUAUCAGCUUGUUGGUGGGGUAAUGGCCUACCAAGGCGGCGACGGGUAGCCGGCCUGAGAGGGUGGACGGCCACAUUGGGACUGAGACACGGCCCAGACUCCUACGGGAGGCAGCAGUGGGGAAUAUUGCACAAUGGGCGGAAGCCUGAUGCAGCGACGCCGCGUGGGGGAUGACGGCCUUCGGGUUGUAAACUCCUUUCACCAUCGACGAAGGGUUUCUGACGGUAGAUGGAGAAGAAGCACCGGCUAACUACGUGCCAGCAGCCGCGGUAAUACGUAGGGUGCGAGCGUUGUCCGGAAUUACUGGGCGUAAAGAGCUCGUAGGUGGUUUGUCGCGUCGUCUGUGAAAUUCCGGGGCUUAACUCCGGGCGUGCAGGCGAUACGGGCAUAACUUGAGUACUGUAGGGGAGACUGGAAUUCCUGGUGUAGCGGUGAAAUGCGCAGAUAUCAGGAGGAACACCGGUGGCGAAGGCGGGUCUCUGGGCAGUAACUGACGCUGAGGAGCGAAAGCAUGGGGAGCGAACAGGAUUAGAUACCCUGGUAGUCCAUGCCGUAAACGGUGGGCGCUAGGUGUGGGUUUCCUUCCACGGGAUCCGUGCCGUAGCUAACGCAUUAAGCGCCCCGCCUGGGGAGUACGGCCGCAAGGCUAAAACUCAAAGGAAUUGACGGGGGCCCGCACAAGCGGCGGAGCAUGUGGAUUAAUUCGAUGCAGCGCGAAGAACCUUACCUGGGCUUGACAUAUACAGGAUCGCGCCAGAGAUGGUGUUUCCCUUGUGGCUUGUAUACAGGUGGUGCAUGGUUGUCGUCAGCUCGUGUCGUGAGAUGUUGGGUUAAGUCCCGCAACGAGCGCAACCCUUGUCUUAUGUUGCCAGCACGUUGUGGUGGGGACUCGUAAGAAACUGCCGGGGUUAACUCGGAGGAAGGUGGGGAUGACGUCAAAUCAUCAUGCCCCUUAUGUCCAAGGCUUCACACAUGCUACAAUGGUCGGUACAGUGGGUUGCCAGUCCGUGAGGGCGAGCUAAUCCCGCAAAGCCGGUCUCAGUUCGGAUCGGGGUCUGCAACUCGACCCCGUGAAGUCGGAGUCGCUAGUAAUCGCAGAUCAGCAACGCUGCGGUGAAUACGUUCCCGGGCCU
rnacentral:rRNA from 1 species